rnacentral:rRNA from 1 species
GAUUUCUGACUUCAAACAUUUAAUCAGCCACGGUUUCGUGUGUUAGUAUUAGAUGUUGUGGUCAUCCUUUCAAUUACUAUUAGUUUAUCUUCAUUGAUUGAUUAAUAGUAUUGAAUCUUUUACUUUGAAAAAAUUAGAGUGUUUCAAGCAGGCUUAAUGCUAUGAAUACAUUAGCAUGGAAUAAUAAUUUAGGACUUCGGUUCUAUUUUGUUGGUUUCUAGGACUGAAGUAAUGAUUGAUAGGGAUAGUUGGGGGUGCUAGUAUUCAGCGGCCAGAGGUGAAAUUCUCGGAUUCGCUGAAGACUAACUUAUGCGAAAGCAUU